CGGGGAGCCGCUGUCUCCAGGACCCCUCUGCGGGCCUUUGUUCCGGGCGCUGCCCCUCGGCCCUCCAGUCCCCGGGGACUCGCUUGGGGCCGCUCGGGUAUCCACGCUCUCCUGGCGAGGCUGGUGGGUGGAGGCUGCUUGGAGAACCCCCUUGGCUUCUCCGUGCCGGAGCGCCCGGGGCCGUUACGGCCGCCCCCUCCCCCGACCUUUGCCAGGGAGACCCUCUGGCUGCACGGGUUCCCCAUCAUCUCUGCCCGGAGAGGAUCUUCCUGCUCCCCCCUGGGGCAAGUGGGCUGGAGGACGGUUUCCCUGGUUCCAAAGAACAGAGCACCGUCUCCCUGGGCGGCAGCAGGUCCCACAUCCGCCCUCCUGCACUUUCCUGCGCCGCCAGCCAGUCCAAGGCUCCCCUAAUUCAAGAACUGGGAAACGGGAGGGACAGAGGGUCUUCCCGGCCCGCCAGGGCUGCCUGGCAUUAUCUUCGGACCCUCCCAGGCAGCUGGGUCUCCGGCCGGGCUGCCAGGCAAGUGGGGUCCCAGUCGCCUCCCGUGCAUGGCGUGGUCGGCUGGGCAGCACCGGCUGCGGGGUGCAAAGGCCAGCUUCUCGAGGGAUGAGGUAAAGGGCUCAGAACUGGAACACAAACCGAACCUCCCUGUUCCUUUCCGAAUCCUGGUGAUGGCCCUGUCCCCGAGAAGGCGAGAACGUCUUGGAUUCCACUUGCUGGGCAUUCCUCCUGGGACUUCCACUAACGUUACAUUUUGGUGCCGAAACCCAGGAAGGGGACAGGCUCUGGCUGCGUGUCCUUAGAGGUGUCUCUCUCUCUCUCCCUCUCCCCCCUCCCCUCUCUCUCUCCUAUCACCCCUCACCCAAGGGCCUUGUCCAGAAUAGAGGAGACCUGAAGGACACCUGACUCGGUGGCUGCCUCUAUUCCAGACAAGGCCUGCAG
rnacentral:lncRNA from 1 species